UACGAAGGGGGCUAGCGUUGCUCGGAAUGACUGGGCGUAAAGGGCGCGUAGGCGGUUUGUACAGUCAGAUGUGAAAUUCCCGGGCUCAACCUGGGGGCUGCAUUUGAUACGUAUGGACUUGAGUGGGGAAGAGGGUCGUGGAAUUCCCAGUGUAGAGGUGAAAUUCGUAGAUAUUGGGAAGAACACCGGUGGCGAAGGCGGCCAUCUGGACCGCAACUGACGCUGAGGCGCGAAAGCGUGGGGAGCAAACAGGG
rnacentral:rRNA from 1 species